UACGAAGGGUGCAAACGUUGCUCGGAAUUAUUGGGCGUAAAGCGCACGUAGGCGGCUUGGCAAGUCGGAUGUGAAUCCCUCGGCUCAACCAAGGAAGUGCAUCCGAAACUGCUGAGCUUGAGUACUUAAGAGGAUCGCGGAAUUCCCGGUGUAGAGGUGAAAUUCGUAGAUAUCGGGAGGAACACCAGUGGCGAAGGCGGCGAUCUGGGAAGAUACUGACGCUGAGGUGCGAAAGCGUGGGGAGCAACAGG
rnacentral:rRNA from 1 species